rnacentral:rRNA from 1 species
GACGAACGCUGGCGGCGUGCUUAACACAUGCAAGUCGAACGGAAAGGCCCUGCUUUUGUGGGGUGCUCGAGUGGCGAACGGGUGAGUAACACGUGAGUAACCUGCCCUUUACUUUGGGAUAACUUCAGGAAACUGGGGCGAAUACCGGAUAUGAGCUCCUGCUGCAUGGUGGGGGAUGGAAAGUUUCGGCGGUUGGGGAUGGACACGCGGCUUAUCGGCGUGUUGGUGGGGUAGUGGCUUACCAAGGCUCUGACGGGUAGCCGGACUGAGAGGGUGACCGGCCCCAUUGGGAUUGGGAUACCGCCCGGACUCCUACGGGAGGCAGCAGUGGGGGAUAUUGCACGAUGGGCGGAGGCCGGAUGCAGCAUCGCCGCGUGCGGGAUGACGGCCUUCGGGUUGUAAACCGCUUUCGCCUGUGACGAAGAGUGAGUGACGGUAAUGGGUAAAGAAGCACCGGCUAACUACGUG